rnacentral:misc_RNA from 1 species
CAGAAUAAACUUGAUAAGUUGUUGCUGGCUCGUAAGAGUAUGUGCACACUUGUCAUAUUUAUCUUUCCACCAUGUGCACUAUGCAUAGGUCUGAUAAAAUGUGAUCAAGGGUUUCGGCCCCUGGUUAUUGGAAACUGCUAUUGGCAACAAUGGCUUUUUCUGUCUUCAGUUCCUAUGACUUAUAAAUACACCAAGUAUGUUAAAGAACGUUUACAUGGGCUCUUGUAGCCUAUAUAUUAUAAUA